UACGAAGGGGGCUAGCGUUGCUCGGAAUCACUGGGCGUAAAGGGUGCGUAGGCGGGUCUUUAAGUCAGGGGUGAAAUCCUGGAGCUCAACUCCAGAACUGCCUUUGAUACUGAAGAUCUUGAGUUCGGGAGAGGUGAGUGGAACUGCGAGUGUAGAGGUGAAAUUCGUAGAUAUUAGGAAGAACACCAGUGGCGAAGGCGGCUCACUGGUCCGGUACUGACGCUGAGGUGCGAAAGCGUGGGGAGCAAACAGGG
rnacentral:rRNA from 1 species